UCCCAGUGUACCCAGGUCGUACAGUGCC
rnacentral:sRNA from 1 species